rnacentral:rRNA from 1 species
GACGAACGCUGGCGGCGUGCUUAACACAUGCAAGUCGAACGAUGAAGCCUAGCUUGCUGGGUGGAAGAGUGGCGAACGGGUGAGUAACACGUGAGCAACCUGCCCCGAACUCUGGGGUAAGCGCUGGAAACGGUGUCUAAUACUGGAUAUGCAUCAGAGCCGCAUGGUUACUGGUGGGAAAGAUGUAUCGGUUCGGGAUGGGCUCGCGGCCUAUCAGCUUGAUGGUGGGGUAAUGGCUCACCAUGGCGACGACGGGUAGCCGGCCUGAGAGGGUGACCGGCCACACUGGGACUGAGACACGGCCCAGACUCCUACGGGAGGCAGCAGUGGGGAAUAUUGCACAAUGGGCGCAAGCCUGAUGCAGCAACGCCGCGUGAGGGAUGACGGCCUUCGGGUUGUAAACCUCUUUUAGUAGGGAAGAAGCGAAAGUGACGGUACCUGCAGAAAAAGCACCGGCUAACUACGUGCCAGCCGCCGCCGUAAUAC